UGGGGAAUCUUCCGCAAUGGACGAAAGUCUGACGGAGCAACGCCGCGUGAGUGAUGACGGUCUUCGGAUUGUAAAGCUCUGUUAAUCGGGACGAAUGGUUUGUGUGCAAAUAGUGCAUAGACAUGACGGUACCGGAAUAGAAAGCCACGGCUAACUACGUGCCAGCAGCCGCGGUAAUACGUAGGUGGCAAGCGUUGUCCGGAAUUAUUGGGCGUAAAGCGCGCGCAGGCGGACUAGCCAGUCAGUCUUAAAAGUUCGGGGCUUAACCCCGUGAUGGGAUUGAAACUACUAGUCUAGAGUAUCGGAGGGGAAAGUGGAAUUCCUAGUGUAGCGGUGAAAUGCGUAGAUAUUAGGAAGAACACCAGUGGCGAAGGCGACUUUCUGGGCGAACACUGACGCUGAGGCGCGAAAGCCAGGGGAGCGAACGGG
rnacentral:rRNA from 1 species